UUAUGACUGCUUUAUGUGAACCAACUUACUGAAUGUUGAAUUCUGAACAUUCUGGAAUGUGUCACAGCAGUUGAAAAUAGACUACAGGAAGAGACACAGGAAGCUAUAUCAGAAGCUUCCCCAAUGGUUAAGAUCUUCUAGGGAGGGCUUUCUUUUGUCUGGCCACCAUCACAACCAUCUUUGGGGAAGAUUCAGGUCAGAACUUCAUCAGCGAUGAUUGGUCCCAGGCUUAGAACUCCCUGUUCUCUUUCUACCAUCAGACAAAGAAAGACCUUCUUAUUUAGGCAGGGCUUUGGCUUUUAACUCAUCCCACAGAAGGAUUUUAAAGAAAUCUGCUGAGAGCAACCUGCUACCAGAACACUUCUGCCAGCUGACAUCUAAAGACAGAAGAGCCCCAAGAAAGGGCAGAGGAUGGGUGAGGCAAGAGGAGAAGCAGGUUAUACCAGAUGCAUCUCCCAAGGAUACAGCCACAAUGCUGUCACAAAAUCAGGCCAGGACAGGAGUAGUCCUAAAUAAUUUCCAACACCUUUAGAUUAGGAGAGGCUUGGAUUCACCCGUUUUCCAGGUGGCCUCAUCAUCACAGCUAGCCUUUGGCAAUCCUCCUAAAGAUAAGUAUCUGAUAAAUUUAUAAUAAUGCUACUAGUACAAUUCAAUCAGAAUAAAGCAAAGAUGAAAUGAUA